rnacentral:rRNA from 1 species
CAGUCGCCGCGGGAAUACAGAGGGUGCAAGCGUUAAUCGGAAUUACUGGGCGUAAAGCGCGCGUAGGUGGUUUGUUAAGUUGGAUGUGAAAGCCCCGGGCUCAACCUGGGAACUGCAUCCAAAACUGGCAAGCUAGAGUACGGUAGAGGGUGGUGGAAUUUCCUGUGUAGCGGUGAAAUGCGUAGAUAUAGGAAGGAACACCAGUGGCGAAGGCGACCACCUGGACUGAUACUGACACUGAGGUGCGAAAGCGUGGGGAGCAAACAGGAUUAGAUACCCCAGUAGUCCCUGUCUCUUAUAA